AGGACGAGAGUAAAAGCACGAUGGGUGGUGCCGUGCAACGUGAUUUUAUUGGUCUUACUUUACUGGAGUUCCUUAUUCCAUUUUCCCUUUAUUAGUUGUUGUUUCAUUGGAUUCUCUUAUUUAAAUGCUAUCUGUUCAGUUCCAUCUCUUAAUUGUAGAAGUUAUAAUUGAACUGCUAUUCCCCCAGAAUGUCCCCUCCUCUCUUUUGUUGUUUAAAUUCUUGUUUUCCUUUUCUGUUAUCGUAUAUAUUUGUACAGGUUGUUUAUGGUAGGUCCGGUUAGCCUCGUCACUACCUCGCCGAGGUUAGGCCGGACACUUACUAGCACAUGGGGUCGGUUGUGCUGAUACUACGCUUCUGUGCCUUUCUUUGUUGACAUGUCAGGACCCGGGCUAUAGAUUGCAGCAUUAGACCGGGAGUGAGGUCGGUUGUGCUAAUACUACAUUUCUGUGCCUUGUUGUGCACAGGUCAGGACACAGCUUACGGACCGCAGCAGUAGUUAGAGGGCGAUCCUUCAGCCCAGAGACUCUGAGGUAGUUCGCUGGCGUUCGCGGGCCUUGAGUCUCCUCUAUCUUUUCUAAUUUGUUUCAUUUGUAUCAAACAGACUUCAGUUGUAUUUCUUUCAGACUAUUAUUUUUAGUGCUCUUUAGUUGCUCGUGAGCAGUGACACCAGAUACUGGGUAGAGACAUGUUGUUAGUUUUCUGCAUCUUAUUCUAUUGUUAUUGUUAUUAAAAGACUUAAUUAAUUAUUCUAGUAUUUGAUUGUCUUAAAUAUAAG
rnacentral:lncRNA from 1 species